rnacentral:tRNA from 1 species
GGUCGAGUUGUAGGCGAAGGGUUGUAAACUCUUUUAGGAAGAAGUUUCUCUUACUAGGUAAGAU